AACGAACGCUGGCGGCAUGCCUAACACAUGCAAGUCGAACGAGAACUUCGGGUCUAGUGGCGCACGGGUGCGUAACGCGUGGGAACCUGCCCUUAUGUUCGGAAUAACUCUCCGAAAGGGGUGCUAAUACCGGAUAAUGUCUUCGGACCAAAGAUUUAUCGCCUUUGGAUGGGCCCGCGUUGGAUUAGGUAGUUGGUAGGGUAAUAGCCUACCAAGGCGACGAUCCAUAGCUGGUCUGAGAGGAUGAUCAGCCACACUGGGACUGAGACACGGCCCAGACUCCUACGGGAGGCAGCAGUGGGGAAUAUUGGACAAUGGGGGCAAGCCUGAUCCAGCAAUGCCGCGUGAGUGAUGAAGGCCUUAGGGUUGUAAAGCUCUUUUACCCGGGAAGAUAAUGACGGUACCGGGAGAAUAAGCCCCGGCUAACUCCGUG
rnacentral:rRNA from 1 species